rnacentral:rRNA from 1 species
UGGUACCCACAGAAGAAGUCCCGGCUAACUUCGUGCCAGCAGCCGCGGUAAUACGAAGGGGGCUAGCGUUACUCGGAAUUAUUGGGCGUAAAGCGUGCGUAGGCUGCUUAGUAAGUCAAAAGUGAAAGCCUUGGGCUCAACCUAAGAAUUGCUUUUGAAACUACCAAGCUUGAGUACUGUAGGGGAUAGCGGAAUUCCUAGUGUAGGGGUGAAAUUCGUAGAUAUUAGGAGGAACACCGGAGGCGAAAGCGGUUAUCUGGACAGUUACUGACGCUGUUGCACGAAAGCGUGGGGAGCAAACAGGAUUAGAUACCCUGGUAGUCCACGCUGUAAACGAUGAGUGCU